rnacentral:RNase_P_RNA from 1 species
GGAGUCGGCCAGGCAGCCGCUAUAAGUUUAUGACUUAUGGAGGAAAGUCCGGGCUCCUUCGGACAGGGCGCCAGGUAACGCCUGGAGGGCGCGAGCCCAUGGAAAGUGCCACAGAAAAUAUACCGCCAGCGAUGGUAAGGGUGAAAAGGUGCGGUAAGAGCGCACCGCGCGACUGGUAACAGGUCGCGGCACGGUAAACCCCGCCCGGAGCAAGACCAAAUAGGGGAGCAUUCCGUCGGAUCCGAACGGGCUCCCGGGUAGGUCGCUAGAGGCAGCCGGUGACGGCUGUCCCAGAUGAAUGGUUGUCGCAGACAGAACCCGGCUUAUUGCCGGCUCCCGCU